rnacentral:rRNA from 1 species
CCUACGGGUGGCAGCAGUGAGGAAUAUUGGUCAAUGGGCGGAAGCCUGAACCAGCCAAGUAGCGUGCGGGAUGAAGGCCCUACGGGUCGUAAACCGCUUUUGCACGGGGAUAACACCCUCCACUUGUGGAGGUCUGCAGGUACCGUGCGAAUAAGGGCCGGCUAAUUCCGUGCCAGCAGCCGCGGUAAUACGGAAGGCCCGAGCGUUAUCCGGAUUCAUUGGGCUUAAAGGGAGCUGAGGUGGGCGUUCAAGUCAGCUGGAAAAUCGCGGGGCUCAACCGCGCCCCGCAGUUGAAACUGGACGCCUUGAGUUCACAACAGGCAGGCGGAAUUCGUGGUGUAGCGGUGAAAUGCAUAGAUAUCACGAGGAACCCCGAUUGCGAAGGCAGCCUGCCGGGGUGCGACUGACGCUGAGGCUCGAAGGUGCGGGUAUCAAACAGGAUUAGAUACCCUAGUAGUC